rnacentral:lncRNA from 1 species
UCUAAUGGGAGAAGGAAAACUGGUUAGCCAAAAUGACCUGUGAGCUAUCACCAACCCUGACAUGCUGGGAUUCUAUGGAAGGUUUUAUAUUGCAAAGAAAGGUUAAGUCCCCAUUUGACAGAUAUUUUUGAUUGAUGCCAUCAUGAAGUAAAGAUUAGAGAAUGACAAAAUAAUAGUUAGAAUCCAAAUAGACUUUAUUCUUCACUUACAUGUGAAUAAAUUAGAUGCCACUUGAAAAUGAGAUUCCAA